rnacentral:antisense_RNA from 1 species
GGGGAAGAGAAGAGGAGGGAGGUCCAUACCGCUGCACAGUGAGGACAAGCUGAUUUCCUGAGGCAUCGAUGAGGCUCAUGGCACUGGCAUGGGAGAGGUUGGUGCAAGAGACCCCAUUGAUUGCCAAGAGCUGGUCCCUCUCUCGGAGUCCUGCUCUGCCAGCCUGGCUCCGUCUUCGAAUCUGAGAUGUUAAAGGAGACACUGUAG